GAUGAAGAACGCAGCGAAAUGCGAUAAGUAAUGUGAAUUGCAGAAUUCAGUGAUUCAUCGAAUCUUUGAACGCACAUUGCGCCCGCCAGUAUUCUGGCGGGCAUGCCUGUUCGAGCGUCAUUUCAACCAUCAAGCCCCCGGCUUGUGUUGGGGACCUGCGGCUGCCGCAGGCCCUGAAAACCAGUGGCGGGCUCGCUAGUCACUCCGAGCGUAGUAAUACAUCUCGCUCAGGGCGUGCUGCGGGUUCCGGCCGUUAAAAAGCCUUAUUUACCCAAGGUUGACCUCGGAUCAGGUAGGAAGACCCGCUGAACUUAAGCAUAUCAAUAAGCGGAGGA
rnacentral:misc_RNA from 1 species